UACCAGCUCUCCGAGUGGUGUGGAUGUUUAUUGGGCCUAAAGCAUCCGUAGCUGGCUGGACAAGUCCCCUGUUAAAUCCACCGAUUUAAUCGUUGGUGUGCGGGGGAUACUGUUCGGCUAGGGGACGGGAGAGGCCGACGGUAUUUCCGGGGUAGGGGUGAAAUCCUAUAAUCCCGGGAAGACCACCAGUGGCGAAGGCUGUCGGCUAGAACGCGCCCGACGGUGAGGGAUGAAAGCUGGGGGAGCGAACCGGAUUAGAUACCCGGGUAGUCCCAGCUGUAAACGAUGCAGGCUAGGUGUUUGGGCGGCCACGUGCCGCUCUGGUGCCGCAAGGAAGCUGUUAAGCCUGCCGCCUGGGGAGCACGGCCGCAAGGCUGAAACUUAAAGGAUUGGCGGGGAGCACCACAAGGGGUGAAGCUUGCGGUUU
rnacentral:rRNA from 1 species